UACGGAGGGAGCUAGCGUUGUUUGGAAUUACUGGGCGUAAAGCGCACGUAGGCGGCUUUGUAAGUUAGAGGUGAAAGCCCGGGGCUCAACUCCGGAACUGCCUUUAAGACUGCAUCGCUUGAAUCCGGGAGAGGUGAGUGGAAUUCCGAGUGUAGAGGUGAAAUUCGUAGAUAUUCGGAAGAACACCAGUGGCGAAGGCGGCUCUCUGGAACGCAACUGACGCUGAGACGCGAAAGCGUGGGGAGCAAACAGG
rnacentral:rRNA from 1 species